UUUUGGAGCCGUGAAGGAUACAGCAGUUUGGUCAAUAUUGCCUUAACAUGCUUCAAAUAAGUCAGCUCUCCAAGAUAAAAUGGCAACCCCAAAAGAGAAAACUCCAAUGUGUCCGGUAAAUGAGUUAGCCCGUUUCAAUAGAGUCCAACCCCAGUAUAAACUUCUGAAUGAAAGAGGGCCUGCUCAUUCGAAGAUGUUCUCAGUGCAGCUGAGUCUUGGCGAGCAGACAUGGGAAUCCGAGGGGAGCAGUAUAAAGAAAGCCCAACAAGCUGUUGCUAAUAAAGCUUUGACCGAAUCUGCGCUUCCCAAACUGGUUCAGAAACCAGCCAAAAGUAAUGUUAAUAAUAACCCAGGUAGUAUAACUCCAACUGUGGAACUGAAUGGGCUUGCUAUGAAAAGGGGAGAGCCUGCCAUCUACAGGCCAUUAGAUCCAAAGCCAUUCCCAAAUUAUAGAGCUAAUUACAACUUUCGGGGCAUGUACAAUCAGAGGUAUCAUUGCCCAAUGCCUAAGAUCUUUUACGUUCAGCUGACUGUAGGAAAUAAUGAAUUUUGGGGGGAAGGGAAGACUCGACAAGCUGCUAGACACAAUGCUGCAAUGAAAGCCCUUCAAGCACUGCAGAAUGAACCUAUUCCAGAAAAAUCACAUCAGAAUGGUGAAUCAGGAAAAGAAAUGGAUGAUGACAAAGAUGCAAAUAAAUCUGUGAUCAGCUUAGUGUUCGAAAUUGCUCUGAAGCGAAAUAUGCCUGUCAGUUUUGAGGUUAUUAAAGAAAGUGGACCACCACAUAUGAAAAGCUUUGUUACUCGAGUGUCAGUGGGAGAGUUUUCCGCAGAAGGAGAGGGAAAUAGCAAAAAACUCUCUAAGAAACGUGCUGCAACCACCGUCCUACAGGAGCUUAGAAAACUUCCACCUCUUCCUAUGGUGGAAAAGCCUAAACUAUUUUUUAAAAAACGCCCUAAAACAAUAGUAAAGGCUGGUCCAGAAUAUGGUCAAGGAAUGAACCCCAUUAGCCGCCUGGCCCAAAUUCAACAGGCCAAAAAGGAAAAGGAGCCAGAUUAUGUUUUGCUUUCAGAAAGAGGAAUGCCUCGACGUCGAGAAUUUGUGAUGCAGGUCAAGGUAGGCAGUGAAGUUGCAACAGGAACAGGACCUAAUAAAAAGAUAGCCAAAAAAAAUGCUGCAGAAGCAAUGCUGUUACAACUUGGUUAUAAAGCCUCCACUAGUCUUCAGGAUCAACUUGAGAAGACAGGGGAAAACAAAGGAUGGAGUGGUCCAAAGGCUGGGUUUCCUGAACCACCAAGUAAUAGUUCACUACUGUGAUAGACAAAGUGGCAAAGAGUAUGUGACCUGUCUGACAUUAGCCCCUGUGCAGAUGACUUUCCAUGCUAUUGGAAACUCCAUCGAAGCCAGCCAUGACCAGGUAUAAUAUGCCAGUGCCAUUUUGCUGUGUUAUGGCCCUGCUCAGAAAUCGGAGGCCAUCAAAAUGGAAGCUAUGUGCACACAUACAGCUUUGCUUUCCUUAAUGCGUUAUCUGCCAGCACCAUUUGCUAGAGUUUUAAAAAAACAAAAUUGUUUGUGUUGGAAAACUGAUAUCCUAGAAGAUUUAAGUUAUUUUAGACUUAUUAUUUGUAGUCCAUUAUUAAUUUAAAUAUAGAAUUCUUUUAUAAGGAAGAAAUAAUUGCCCUAGAAGUUAUUUUUAAUCUUUAAUAAUGAUAUAUGAGAGGAAGGGCCAACAAAACAAUGUAGAUAACACUAGAGUCUCACUAUAAUAUACUCAUUUG